rnacentral:rRNA from 1 species
AACGCGAAGAACCUUACCAGGGUUUGACAUACAUGUGACAUCCUUCGAAAGAGGGCUCCCUUCGGGGCACAUGAACAGGUGCUGCAUGGCUGUCGUCAGCUCGUGUCGUGAGAUGUUGGGUUCAGUCCCGCAACGAGCGCAACCCCUACUGUUAGUUAAAAUGUCUAGCAGGACUGCCAUUUAAAAGUGGAAGAAGGUGGGGAUGACGUCAAGUCAGCACGGCCCUUACAUCCUGGGCUACACACACGCUACAAUGGCCAGAACAAUGGGCUGCCAACCCGCAAGGGGGAGCCAAUCCUAUCAAAACUGGUCCCAGUUCAGAUUGUAGGCUGCAACCCGCCUGCAUGAAGAUGGAGUUGCUAGUAACCGUAGGUCAGCACACUACGGUGAAUACGUUCCCGGGCCUUGUACACACCGGAGUGC